rnacentral:lncRNA from 1 species
GAAGGGAUAAUUUGCCCUCCAGUGCCUCCUGGAACAGCUCUCUUUCUUUUUCCAUAUUGAGGUUGAGACAAACUUUCCAAGCAGAUACUGGUUUUCAAGUAAUUACCGGUUUACUUUCAGAUGUUUUUCCUACCCUCGGAGGUAAUACGGCAACGGCAAACAUGAGCGGGGGAUGAGGAGGAGAGGAAAAGACCAGAGAGGAUAAGAAAGUUGUCGAUUGUGGGAGCCCAGAGCAGAAAAUAUUCUGGCGACUGAACAGAACAGAAACCAAACCAGAGUGUGUAUGUUUGUGUUUCUCCUUUCAGAUCCUUUCAUUCAGGCGCCAUCUCCCUGGAGACCGGGGAAAUGGUAGGAGUCCCCUGGAGCUCUGGCAGCUCUUUGCUGAGCUUCUAGAGAAGAGAAAAAUACUAGAUAAAGGAAAUGCCUGUGGCCAGUUCCCAGGCCGGGGGCGGGACUAGGAACAAAUGGAGAGAUAAGAGGGACCCUUGACCUGAAUAUACUGUAGACAUUCCCAGAUGUUUUCCCUCCCCAUUCUCUGGCCCUCGGGGGACUACCUGGAAAGACAGAUGGACAUCUGUGGCCCCUCUAGGUCUGGGUCAUCUGGGGACCUCACGAGUUCUCUCUCACCUUGUUUGCAGCCAACUCCAAAGGCCCCAGGCUUAAAGGGAAUGUUUCCUGGAACGCUGGCAGAAGUCCAGCCAGUGGCUGGAGAGACGGUGCGUUUCCCUUACAAGUAUUUCAGAGACCCUAUGCCCCCAAUUCUACCUUUCUCUUUCUAACUUUUUUGAAGGCACGAAGGCAGAGAAACCCAUGCGGGUGGGAAGGCCACCUGAUUUACAACUCUCUCUCCCAUGCUGCUCUUUUCAUUGCAAAUGUGAAAUAGUCCGUCUGCAUUGCUCUUGCCAUCCUAUUUAUAAGCACUGGUUCUGAAGAAAGUGUGUUCUGUGUG